AUAAUAAAGGAUGCUGAUCAUCAAGCAGUUCAAGACAUAUACAUAUAUACCUCCAAGUAGUGGAGAAGAAGCUAAGCAAAUGGAGCAAUCUUCACACACAUACACAGGUAUGAUGAUGAUGAAUAGAAAUGCGAAUAUCACUAUCUCAGAUUAUCCUGUUUAAAUCAGUCUAAUAUUCAAAGAAAUGUGAAGAUUAGCCACCUUUUUAAAAACUGUAUGUGGAGACCUUUGAUUAGCUAUGAUUUUUGCUCAGCAAAAAUAAAACCAUUUAAAC
rnacentral:lncRNA from 1 species